ensembl:misc_RNA Metazoa_SRP Metazoan signal recognition particle RNA
GCCGGGCGUGGUGGCACAUGCCUGUAGUCCCAGUUACUCGGGAGGCUGAGGCAGGAGAAUCGCUUGAACCCAGGAGGCAGAGGUUGCAGUGAGCUGAGAUUGUGCCACUGCACUCCAGCCUGGGUGACAGAGCGAGACUCUGUCUCAA